rnacentral:rRNA from 1 species
GAUGAACGCUGGCGGCGUGCCUAAUACAUGCAAGUCGAGCGAACGGACGAGAAGCUUGCUUCUCUGAUGUUAGCGGCGGACGGGUGAGUAACACGUGGAUAACCUACCUAUAAGACUGGGAUAACUUCGGGAAACCGGAGCUAAUACCGGAUAAUAUUUUGAACCGCAUGGUUCAAAAGUGAAAGACGGUCUUGCUGUCACUUAUAGAUGGAUCCGCGCUGCAUUAGCUAGUUGGUAAGGUAACGGCUUACCAAGGCAACGAUGCAUAGCCGACCUGAGAGGGUGAUCGGCCACACUGGAACUGAGACACGGUCCAGACUCCUACGGGAGGCAGCAGUAGGGAAUCUUCCGCAAUGGGCGAAAGCCUGACGGAGCAACGCCGCGUGAGUGAUGAAGGUCUUCGGAUCGUAAAACUCUGUUAUUGGGGAAGAACAUAUGUGUAAGUAACUGUGCACAUCUUGACGGUACCUAAUCAGAAAGCCACGGCUAACCACGUG